GAUGAACGCUAGCGGCAGGCCUAAUACAUGCAAGUCGAACGGUGUAGCAAUACACAGUGGCGCACGGGUGCGUAACACGUAUGCAACCUACCUUACAUUGGGGGAUAGCCUUUCGAAAGGGAGAUUAAUACCGCAUAAGACAGUAACUAGGCAUCUAGUAGCUGUUAAAGAUUUAUCGAUGUAAGCUGGGCAUGCGUCCAAUUAGUUAGUUGGCGAGGUAAUGGCUCACCAAGACGAUGAUUGGUAGGGGAACUGAGAGGUCAAUCCCACACACUGGCACUGGGAUACGGGCCAGACUCCUACGGGAGGCAGCAGUAGGGAAUAUUGGGCAAUGGGCGCAAGCCUGACCCAGCCAUGCCGUGUGCAGGAAGAAGGCGUUAUGCGUUGUAAACUGCUUUUAUACAGGAAGAAACGACCCUUGCGAGGGGCAUUGACGGUACUGUAUGAAUAAGCACCGGCUAACUCCGUGCCAGCAGCCGCCGCCGUAA
rnacentral:rRNA from 1 species